rnacentral:rRNA from 1 species
AUACGGAGGGUGCAAGCGUUAUCCGGAUUUAUUGGGUUUAAAGGGUGCGCAGGCGGAUAAUUAAGUCAGUGGUGAAAUCCUCCCGCUCAACGGGAGAACUGCCAUUGAUACUGAUAAUCUGGACUACGAUUGAAGUGGGCGGAAUGUAGCAUGUAGCGGUGAAAUGCAUAGAGAUGCUACAGAACACCGAUCGCGAAGGCAGCUCACUAAGCCGAUAUUGACGCUCAGGCACGAAAGCGUGGGUAGCGAACAGGAUUAGAAACCCCGGUAGUCC